GUCCCUCCGGCACCACUCCCAUACUUGCAUUUUUCUUUGCAUUUUUGUUUGCUAACAUUUAAAGUGUGGAAUUUCGCAUAAACGUCUGUAUUUCCUCUGCUUGAAAAAGGGCUUUGACUCCAACCUCUGAAAAUGCUUCAAUUCAAUGAAACUAAUGGCACUUUGGUCUCUGGAAUUAGAUCCUGUUAUCAAUGACUUCCACAUGGAAAGAUCAUUCCAAAAUGUGUAAUUAACCAAGAAAAUGCAAAUAAACCAAUUUGUACCUGCUAUUUAGAGGUAAGACACAGAA
rnacentral:lncRNA from 1 species